rnacentral:rRNA from 1 species
UGGCGGACGGGUGAGUAAUGUCUGGGAAACUGCCUGAUGGAGGGGGAUAACUACUGGAAACGGUAGCUAAUACCGCAUAACGUCGCAAGACCAAAGAGGGGGACCUUAGGGCCUCUUGCCAUCGGAUGUGCCCAGAUGGGAUUAGCUAGUAGGUGGGGUAAAGGCUCACCUAGGCGACGAUCCCUAGCUGGUCUGAGAGGAUGACCAGCCACACUGGGACUGAGACACGGUCCAG